ACUAAAACAGAGACUGGUUAAAUAUACAGCGACAUUAAAUUAAUAUCUAAAGUAAUUUACUUAUCUCUCUCUCCCUCUGGAUUAAGUGUUGUACGACACCUCAUUCUCCUGCAUUUAAUCAUUCUGUCAGAGAGAGAGAGCUCUCCUAACUGUACACAGAGAAUGUUGAUUACUUCACUCCAAAAGAUUCUCCCUCUCACCAGAUAUCCAAUGUACUGCAGGAACCAUUCAAGAUUGUGGAUCGAAGGAUUAUCAUGCACUUAUUGCUUCCGAUGCUCAUUUGUCUAGUGUAUCCUGUUUGGAUUGUAAACAGCGAUCAUCAGAAACAUCACCAGUUUACCAGAUACAGAGAUCGCCAUCAACAUAUUUUCCGGGACAUUACAAAUUUAACCUUGCGCUUUCUGCACCAGAAGACUGCUACAACAAUAACACCGACCACUUCUAUACCGCACAGUCUUAAAGGACUAAUUGUGAGGAACGAGAAAGACAUCAUGGUUAUAGAGCUGUGUCAGUAUUUACAGCAGAGGAGAUCACCAUCAUGGUUCCAUAGAUACUUUUGUGUCAGAGAUUUCAAUCCAAUCUGGUGACACUGUCCUCUGUCUAGGAGUUUAAGUGUGUUUGUUCUUGUCACGGUAUUUGUAUCCAGCAUAAAGGUUAUGCUAAUGACUGCAAGUAGCGGUGGUCUAUCCAGUGUAUGUACCAUGUACAAAGGGGACACUUACAGUGUGAUAUAAUGGUGAAAUAUGACAAAAAUGCUGGAAAUUAGUGAUAUUUAUUAUUUAUAAAUCAUUUGUGUACUUUUUGAAGUGUGUACAUCCUCCUUUCUCAUCAAAGCUUAGAUUUCUCAUUCAAAGUCAUAUUCAGUUGGAUAUCAAAUGAACGGUGUUGUAUUUUUAGUUCUUUCUGUAAUACUAAGUAUUGUGAUUUCAAAUUAUUAUUAUCUAUUAUUAAACUUUCAGAUAUGAUACAGUAUCAAUCAUCGUUUUUAGAUAGUUGUUAACAACAUGUUCAGUGUAUGUCACAAUGAAUCCUUGGUUUAACACGAUUUGAUAUUUCGUCAUGUAUUUUUCUUUUUUUCUUUUUUAAUUAUGUAUGGAUAUACUUCAUGUUUAUUGGCACAGAGGAGAGAGAGAGAGAGAGAGAGAGAGAGAGAGAGAGAGAGAGAGAGAGAGAGAGAGAGAGAGAGAGAGAGAGAGAGAGAGAAUGAGAAUGAAUUCUGCUACUUGUAAAAUUGUGAAAACAAUCAUUUUAGAAAAAGAAAAUACGUGUUUUAUACCUUUCUCAGUUUUUAUUCGUUAAAAUAAAUUCCUUAACAAUAUAAACUAUCAAUUUUAUGAAUAUUGAGUGGUAUUGUUUUUAAUUUCAUGAUUCGAAUUUUUAAAAAAAUACACUAUGUAUGAAUUUUGAUACUUACAUCACUAGGAACACACAAUUUAAAAAUUUUAAUUGAACAAAAUACUUCACCCGUAUUUCAUCCAUCAUUAUAAGGACUAAGCCUUGUUGACCUCUGUAAUCAAGCUAUUUGCAUACAAUCAGUUCAUUAAUUUGUUAAUUAUUAUACAUGUAAUUUGUUGUUUUAUCACUCAGGUCAAAAUGGUACGAUUCUACAAUAUAGAAUUAAAUGUCGGACAGUGUUUUAAAUGAGAGCACGAUUGCAGUCGAUCCUCCGGUGAAUGACUUUAGAAAAUGCCAAGUCACGACAAGGUGAUUUGGUUGUGUUUUAAUUCUCUCUUGUUAUAUAACUAUUGUCAGCGAAAAGGACAAUUAGCAUAUUACGGAGAUAAGAUAUACUGCGCGGUGAAACAUAUCUGUGUAUUGAAAAGGUCAGGGUCAUAGUGAUUUGUUAUAUUUCGUUAUAUUGAAUCUAUAUUUAGGAUAACACAUGUAAGGGUAAACUUUGUUUUGCAAUUUUCGGCUUUUUCUGACUCGGGCAGUAAUAUCCAAUAAAGGCCGGAUUUUUAUUUUAUUUUUUUUUUGGCUACUGUAUAUAUUUAAUUUAUUACAAAUAACUAUAAUGCAUGAUUGAAAAUAUCGUGGUUUCAAAAUUAUAUAUGUAUGAUAAUGGUAAGUUUUUGCUGUGAAAUAAAAAUUUUAUAUAAAAUAAGCCUAUAAGAAGGAUGCAAGACAGAUUCUAUAAUGCGUAAAUCUUAUUCUGGACAAGAGGUUAUGGGGCAUAUCGCUCACCUGAACAACAGGUCUGAAGUGCACGAGUUCUUAAUAAAUAUUUUUUUUAUUAAACUCUAAAAGGAGAAGUUGGAGAAGGUUAGGUGGUACAAAAUUGAAGUAAAUGUAGUUUUAAACUUUAUUGGUAUAUGAUGCUUUAAUAAUAAAGUCACGAGUUGAACAAUUAUAUUUUAUAUCGGACACUUGAAAAAAAAAGGUUUUCAAUGAUAUACUAAUACGUAUGCUAAUGUCUGGCUUCAUUACUGUUCAGUGUUGAACUGUGAACCACUCACUUGUCUCCAGUAUUGAUUCCGGGAUCAGGGUUGGGACACUAUCUACACUAUACAUGUAUCAUGAACCAUCCACAGUAAUACAACAAAUCAUAGAGUUGUAGUUCUGGAGAAGAUUUUAAAAGAUUUUUCUCUUUAUAUUUUUCGAAGUUGAUUUAUGAACCCUUUCUGGGGCUUCAGUAUUGGUCCAGGACAUGGCUUGCACAGAAAUAUCACAAAUUGCAGUUUUUAAGAAGAUCACUUCCUAUAUAUUUAUUCCUUAAACUUUGAACCCCUUCUAAAACUCCAGUAUUUAUCGAGGGGUUUAGAUAAGAACAUUUUAGAAUCUACACUUGUCUAUAAGAGGGUGUCUGUAUUGUCACUUAUUUUAUCACUCUGGCCAAUUUUCUGAUAAGUGGUAAAAAAGUGGUGCAAUAUCGGUCCAUGUUACCAUUAAGGAAAUGGAAAACUUGUAUUUUAACCCCUCUUUGGACCCCAGUAUGGUCCUGAGAUUAACGGUUAAAACAUUUUUUUUUAAAUCUUCAAUACGCAUAGAAGCUUGAUAAUAAAUCAUAAUAAUUAUAAAUUAUAAAUGGUUCUUGAGUAGAUUAUUUUAGGACACCGCCCUGUUUUCGCAAGAGAAACUUUCUCUUAAAGAAUAUGUUUAGUUUGAUAAAGGCCAGCAAAUUUAGGAAAAUUAGUGCGACUUAAAAAGAAGAAAGGACGGCCAAUUGGAAGGAGAAAACGCACGGACGACGGACAUCAGGUGAUGAUCAGCAAAGCUCACUUCAACAUUCGGUUGUAAAAAGAGUAUCAGAGAAUAGUAAAGAGUGUAAAUUAAUUUGUAGAAUUAUCUAGUUAAGCCUGUUAAACUAUACUGAUCCGUCGUAGAGCCAUAUUUUUCGACUACAUCGAUAGUUCUAGGUACAGUCUCUGUGUAUAACAGAAUGCCUCCCAUCUGAUGAGAACCAUUUUUACCAGGCCGACGUUAUUGCUUCCUUUAGUCGUACAGAUGAUUCAGGUAAUUUAAAACGAUAAGUCUCUAUAAAUUUGCAAGUAUUCAGAAAAGACAUGAAAUAAAGGACUUGCAAUGCCUUUAUCUUACGACAUUUCAUUUUACAACACAAACUAUCUUAAAGUCAACUUGGCACAGAAUAGUGACACCUUAUGACAUUAUGCCUUUGUCACUGGGCUUCCAAGAGAAGAAUGAGGCGUCGGUCCGUUUUGCAAAAGAAACUACAAUAUAUUCCAAAUCAGGAACCGGACUUCUGAUACACAUUUUAAAAAAUUAACGGUUUUGUUGAGGAGCCAAAAGAUUCUGGUUUGGUUUCAUUUGUAUGUUCUGUUGUACAAUGUACCUUGUAAUCAGAAUAAAAAAUCUUUUACCGACUUUUACACACAUAUUUCGCCUUCAUCGUGAAUUUCAUAUUUAAAAUAGGAAAACCUCCGAGACAGUGACAAAUGGUUUCUGUAUACUGCUUUGCCAGAUUUCAUUUUCUUUUCACAUCAUUCGUCUUUUAAAAGAUGGAACCGCAUGGUAUGUUCCUUGAAUGGACAUUAACAGCACUUAUUUACGGGGAAACGUGUCGGAGAUGACACUAUCCCCUAUACAAUAUACAGCGUGUUUUGGUCCGAAGUUCAAUAGUUUGUAUGCAAGACCAAGAGCUAUUAGAUUUAUUGUUAAUGACAUAAUGACACAACUUAAAUUACAUAUCGGUUUGCAUGUUCAAUGUCAUUAAUCAACCAAUUUAAUUCAUCUAAUUUUACUACGAACAUUAAUAUAAACUGGCCAUAAGAAAAAACGGUUUACAUUCAUUCGGUUUCUAGCCAAAGUCAAAUGCUUUUUUGUAUAUAUUUGUUUCAUUGAAUAAAAUGAGAAGUAAAUGAUAAAAUGAAAACAAAGUAUCUGCAAGGUCAUCCUUCUAUUAAUUUUCCAGAGUCAUUUGCUCUUAUAAAUUUCAAAGAAAAAACUUACGAGAUAAUAUUGUGAACGGGAUAACCUUUCUAAUUACGGAGUUCACGAUGGAGAAGGUUCGUUUAUCUUAAUGGUAUAGGAGGCCAUCACGUAAAAACAUUACAAACCACAUCGUUUUGGAUGAAUUCUCCACAUUAGGGUUCUAGGAUCCCUAUUCUGCGGCAAGAUACAAUGUUAUACACAAAAAUAUUUUGUUCUUCGCAGUACAUUGUAUAAUUCAAAAUAAGAUAGAACCUUAUCUUUGGCAUGUUUUAAAAAUACUAGUGAUAAAUUAUAUAGUAAUUCAACACAGCCACAAAAGGCAUGUAUUAGUUUACCAUUUAUUGUGUUCAGACUUACAGAACUUAGCCACUGGACUUAUAAUAGAAUAACCAAACAAAGUCAAAAACAGGCCUCGGACCCUCACCCCGUCAAACACAUUUAUCCAACGGUCCACCCCAACCCCCUCCUUCUGGCAGACAUACAUGUAAUUCUCCCUCGAAUCCUCCCUACGGCAAUUUGCACACUUUUCACGUACUGGGAAAAAACCUUUUAAUAUUUUUUUUUAUUCCUAUUUGUUGAAAAAACAAAAGGCCAAUGGGCCACAUCGCUCACCUGAGCAAAAACAGACAUAAAAUCAGCUUUAUGAAAUAAUAUCCAAAAUAUCGGGACAAUGAAUAAGUAAAAAGAUAAGGUAUUAAAAAAAAUUCAAAAUUUUCUACAGAUGUUCUUAUGUUGAGCCCUUUUUGUAUCUAAAAUAUUUCAUAGUUUACAUCACAUAUUGAACAUUUCCAUUCUAAAAAAGAUCUUAAACAACUGUUCAUAUAAAUAUAAACCUACAUCAAACUUUGAACCCCUUGUGCGGCCCAAGAGUUAUUCAGGGCCACAGUCUAAACAAAUGAGAAUCAACAAAUGUCAAUAUGCUUGCAUAUUAUCAAUAUUAUAUUAUAUUUUUGAGAAUAAUCAAAUUUAUUUCCUAUGCAAAAAUUUGACCCCCCCCCCCCCCCUCCAUUAUAGUCUCUUCAUUUUUCAUUUGAUUUUAAAGAUUUUUUUCUAUAUAUACCGGUAUAUUACACUACACUACCUGAUGAUGCUUCUAAUCAAGUCACAACUUUUCUGGCCAAUUGAUUUUGGAGAAGAUAUUUCUCUACACAUUCCUACAAUGUAUGUAAAAUUCUACCCCCAAUUGUUGCCCCACCAUACUCCCGGGGAUCAAGAUUUGAAAAAAACUAAAAUCUACACUACCUGAGGGUGCUUCCACACAAGUUACAGCUUUUCUGGCCAAAUGAUUUUUGAGAAGAUUUUUCUGGAUAUAUUCCUAUGCAUUCGACCCCCCACCGUGGCCUCAAUCUACCCCCUGGGUUCAUGGUAUGAACAAACUUGAAUCCACACUACUUGAGAAUUCUACCAUACAAGUUUCAGGUUUUUUGGCCAGUUGAAUUUUGAGAAGAGAGAUUUUAAAACAUUUUUGCUAUAUAUAUAUAUAUAUAUUCCUAUGUAAAAAUUUGACCCCUAAAUGUGGCCCCACCAUACCCCCGGGGAUCAUCAUUUGAAGAAACUUGAAUCUACAAUACCUGAGGAUACUUCUAACAAGUUGAAGCUUUUUUGGCGGAUUGAAUUUUGAAAAGAUAUUUCCCUAUACAUACCUAUGUAAAAAUUCGACCACCAGUUGUGGCACCCACCUCACCCCCAGGAUCAUAAUUUUAUAGAAUUUGAAUCAACUCUACCUGAGGAUGCUUCCACACAAGUUACAGCUUUUCUGGCCAAUUAACUUUUGAGAAGAAGAUUUUUAAAGAUUUUUUUUCAAAAUAAUCCUAGCUACGCAAAAAUUUGACCCCCAACUGUGGUCCCAUCAUACCCCUGGGGAUCAUGUUUUGAACAAACUUGAAUCAUCUCUACCUGAGGAAGCUUCUACACAAGUUACAGCUUUUCUGGCUGAUUGAUUUUUAAGGACUUUUCUCGAUAUAUUCCUAUGUAAAAUUCGACCCCUGAUUUUGGCCCCAUCCUAUCCCCGGGGAUCAUGAUUUGAAUAAACUUGAAUUUUCACUACUUGAGUAUGCUUCCACACAAAAUACAGCUUUUCUGGCCAAUUUGUUUUGGAGAAGAAGAAGAAGAAGAAGAAGAAACCAACAAAUUUUUAAUAUUUCUUAAUUAUCUCCCUUAAAAUGAGGGUGUUGCCCUUCAUUUUAACAAACUUGAAUCUCCUUUACCAAAGUAUGCUUUGUGCCAAGUUUGGUUGAAAUCAGCCCAGUGGUUCUGGAAAAGAAGUAAAAAAUGUAAAAAGUUCACAGAAUAGUCCAGAAUAUUCUAUUAAUAAACUAACCUACUAAAUAUUACAAGACAGAUGGACAGACAGACGGAUGAACGCCAGACAAAAAAUGAUCAGAAAAGCUCACUUGAGCUUUCAGCUCAGGUGAGCUAAAAAUCAAAUAAUUUAAGACAGUUAAAUUACAUUGCUUUGCCUUCAAAUUUUCUCUAGCAACUCUUCAAAGGCAUUUAAAUACAACAUUACACUUUAUCCAUAAAAGAUGGGAGAAAUGGAUAAAAUAACUACAAUGUAUAAUAGUAAUUAGACUAAAGUGCUCUAAAAAUAAAAUAGUUUUCUAUGACCCAAUUAAACAUAGCAAAUAUAUAUAUAUAAGCAUAACUAUUAUCAUAGUUUCAAAAUAAAGGUUCAAUAAAAUGAAUACACGAUACAACAAAUAAAAAGUAGGAAAUCCGACUAAAAUUCAAAGCCUCAUAAACUAUUAAAUACUACAUGUUUGUAUAGAUGAACAAACUUUUGUAUUUCAAUGAAUUUUACAACUUAAGGACAAUUGAUUGAAUUAUUUUGAAGUGAAUAUGGAGAGAGAGAGAGAGAGAGAGAGAGAGAGAGAGAGAGAGAGAGAGGUGUUUACAUUCAGAUUGGCAGUGACUGUAAGACAUACAAAUUUAAUAUAUGAACAUUAUCGCAUCAGUUGCACAAAGAAUACAUGUAAGGGAUAAGGAGUUAGUUUUAAUCUGACCUGCUAAUUGUAUGUAUAAAUAUAAUUUUAAAUAACUUACAUCAAAUUGCAUGAAAAGGAAUACAAAGUAUAAUCAAAAUAUAGUUACUAGUAUUUCUACAAUCCUUGUGCACAUAAAAAUAUGGACA